GCCGUGGCUCAGUGGCAGAGCAUCUGCUUCGCAUGCAGAAGGUCCCAAGUUCUAUCCCCAGUAUCUCCA